rnacentral:rRNA from 1 species
GGAAACCCUGGUGGAAGCCCGAAGCGAUUCUGACGUGCAAAUCGAUCGUCUGAUUUGGGUAUAGGGGCGAAAGACUAAUCGAACCAUCUAGUAGCUGGUUCCCUCCGAAGUUUCCCUCAGGAUAGCUGGAACCCGUGUGUGCAGUUUUAUCAGGUAAAGCGAAUGAUUAGAGGUCUUGGGGUUGAAACAACCUCAACCUAUUCUCAAACUUUAAAUAGGUAAGACGUCCGACUUGCUUGAGUGAAGCCGGACCUCGAAUGCAGGGUUCCUAGUGGGCCAUUUUUGGUAAGCAGAACUGGCGAUGCGGGAUGAACCGAAAGCGGGGUUAAGGUGCCAAAGUCGACGCUCAUCAGACCCCACAAAAGGUGUUGGUUGAUCCAGACAGCAGGACGGUGGCCAUAAAAGUCGGAACCCGCUAAGGAGUGUGUAACAACUCACCUGCCGAAUCAACCAGCCCUGAAAAUGGAUGGCGCUCAAGCGUCGCACCCACACCCCGCCGUCGGGCCGAGCUGGCUGGCCUGACGUGUAGGAGGGCGCAGCGGUGGUGUUGCAGCCUAAGGCGUGAGCCUGGGUCAAACCGCCGUUGGUGCAGAUCUUGGUGGUAGUAGCAAAUAUUCAAAUGAGAACUUUGAAGACUGAAGUGGAGAAAGGUUCCAUGUGAACAGCAGUUGGACAUGGGUGAGUCGGUCCUAAGGGACGGGUUAACUCCUAGCAAGUGUGCACUCCCGGUCCGCCGGGAAGGCGCCCUCUCCCGAAAGGGAAUCGGGUUAAUAUUCCCGAACCGGAACGCGGAUAGGGCCGGUGAUCCCCGCGGUCGCCGACCACGGCGGUAACGCAAGCGAACUCGGAGACGCUGGCGGGGGCUCUGGGAAGAGUUCUCUUUUCUUCUUGACGGGCCGACCCCCUGGAAUGGGAUUGCCCCGAGAUAGGGUUCUGUGCUCGGCAAAGCAGCUGCACCUCUUGCAGCGUCCGGUGCGCUCCCGACAGCCCUUGAAAAUCCGAGGGAGUG